rnacentral:rRNA from 1 species
ACGGAGGGUGCAAGCGUUAUCCGGAAUCACUGGGUAUAAAGGGUGCGUAGGCGGCUUGUUAAGUCAGGAGUGAAAGGCCAUAGCUUAACUAUGGGAUUGCUUUUGAUACUGGCGAGCUUGGAUUAGGACGAGGUUGGCGGAAUGUGACAAGUAGCGGUGAAAUGCAUAGAUAUGUCAUAGAAUACCGAUUGCGAAGGCAGCUGACUAGACCUAUAUUGACGCUGAGGCACGAAAGCGUGGGGAGCGAACAGGAUUAGAUACCCUGGUAGUCCACGCCCUAAACGAUGCUAACUCGAUGUUCGGCCGUAAGGCGGAGCAUCCAAGCAAAUGCGAUAAGUUAGCCACCUGGGGAGUACGCCCGCAAGGGUG